rnacentral:rRNA from 1 species
CGUAGGGUGCGAGCGUUAAUCGGAAUUACUGGGCGUAAAGCGUGCGCAGGCGGUUUGUUGUGUCUGAUGUGAAGGCCCCGGGCUCAACCUGGGAAUGGCAUUGGAAACUGGCAAGCUGGAGUGUGGCAGAGGGGGGGUGGAAUUCCGCGUGUAGCAGUGAAAUGCGUAGAGAUGCGGAGGAACACCGAUGGCGAAGGCAGCCCCCUGGGCCAACACUGACGCUCAGGCACGAAAGCGUGGGGAGCAAACAGGAUUAGAUACCCUGGUAGUCCACGCCCUAAACGAUGUCAACUGGGUGUUGGGGAAGCGAUUCCUUGGUACCGUAGCUAACGCGUGAAGUUGACCGCUGGGGAGUACGGCCGCAAGGUUA